rnacentral:hammerhead_ribozyme from 1 species
AUCAAGUUGACGAGUCUCAAAUAGGACGAAACGUGCAUCCUGGAU